ACCUGCGGAUAUGCAUAUCAAUAAGCGGAGGAAGAUUCCGUAGGGGAAAGGAAGAAUACGCCUAUCAAUUUGCGGAGGAAGGUUCCCGUCAGCAAAAGAUAAUAAUUACAACUUUCAACAACGGAUCUCUUGGUUCUGGCAUCGAUGAAGAACGCAGCGAAAUGCGAUAAGUAGUGUGAAUUGCAGAAUUCAGUGAAUCAUCGAAUCUUUGAACGCACAUUGCGCCCCUUGGUAUUCCAUGGGGCAUGCCUGUUCGAGCGUCAUUUGUACCCUCAAGCUCUGCUUGGUGUUGGGUGUUUGUCCCGCAGUUUUUCACGUGGACUCGCCUUAAAGCAAUUGGCAGCCGGCAUAUUGGCCUGGAGCGCAGCACAUUUUGCGCCCCUUGCCCUGAAUGUUGGCAUCCAUCAAGCCCAUUUAUUUGCUCUUGACCUCGGAUCAGGUAGGGAUACCCGCUGAACU
rnacentral:rRNA from 1 species